CCUACGGGCGGCAGCAGUGGGGAAUAUUGGGCAAUGGGCGCAAGCCUGACCCAGCAACGCCGCGUGAAGGAAGAAGGCUUUCGGGUUGUAAACUUCUUUUAGGAGGGAAGAGCAGAAGACGGUACCUCUUGAAUAAGCAACGGCUAACUACGUGCCAGCAGCCGCGGUAAUACGUAGGUGGCCAGCGUUGUCCGGAUUUCAUGGGUGUAAAGGUCGUGCAGGCGGGAAGACAAGUCAGUUGUGAAAUCCCGCGGCUCAACGGCGGAAGUGAAUUUGACACUGGUUUACUUGUGUGCCAGAGAGGGAAUGGGAAUUCCUGGUGUAGGGGUGAAAUGCGUAGAUAUAAGGAAGAACACCAGUGGCGAAGGCGGAUGACUGGA
rnacentral:rRNA from 1 species